UCUUCUCUGGUAUAUCGGUAGAACAUCACCCUGUCAAACCACGUGAUCCAAAAGUCACGUGAGGAGGUCGGUGAAGAGCUGGGUUCGACUCCCAGGAGGAGAG